rnacentral:snRNA from 1 species
AACUAUGGUGUCUCCUCAUUUGCGGAUAAAUCUUUCGCCUUUUACUAAAGAUUUCCGUGGGGAGGCACAAUACAAUGAAUUGCCAG